CCUGGCCACCAAAGCCCCCCCCUGAAAAAAAACCUGAAGAAGAUGCAGAAAGGCCCCUCCAGUCUGGCCCACUGUGUCUCCCCCCCGCCCCACCUCCCCUUUUGUCAACAUUUCUUAUUGCAGAGGACGCAUCGUGAAGGAGGCCGUUCUGUGUCACAAGCAGGCAGCCGUCUAUGGUCCAUCUCCAGCCGCACACUGAGUCCAGGGGAAACGAGACGCCAUUUUUUCAGCCCUGGUUCACCCUUGCACUCGCUCACUCUUUGUUAGGACAACCUUUCCACUCCAGUGGCUGCGUGUUCCUGUUUCAAUUUGAAGAAAUACAUUCUAAACAGAUAAAUCACAUCCCACAUAAUUCCCUAUAAACUGUUGUUCUAUUUUUUUUCCCAAAUAUUUUGUUCUGCAAAGCAUGAAUUACAGGUCCCCCGUGGUCAAGUGGACCCUGGCUAUUUGCACAAGAGAUGAUGGAUGCGUUCUGCAGUUGCUGCUUCAGUCUGUCAGGACUUCUAAACUGAUGCCCCAUUGGAGUCUCAGUAACCCCUGGGGACGGUGGGCCGAGACGGUGAACGGUCUCCCGGAGCCAGAGGAAGAACCGUGUCCACACAGCCAAGAGGCCAGGUCCUCCAAGAAACACAAAACCCCCCCUUACAUCGCAGAAGAGCUCUGAAGUUGCAGGGUCUGUCGGUUCCCCUGGGGCACCGGACGACCUCCAGGUUUCCCAAAUUGUCCUGCUGCAAUGGUUCCUGACCCCUGGGCUCCUGGUUCCCACACACGCUGCUGUUUGCAGACCUCCUGAU